rnacentral:rRNA from 2 species
UAAGUGGGAAACCCACCUCAAAACUAGUUCUUCCUAUAGAGCCGUAGUAGACCACUACGUUGAUAGGCUGGAUGUGGAAGCGUGGCAACACGUGUAGCUGACCAGUACUAAUAGCUCAAUUGGCUUGAUUUAUG